UCUAAAAAUUAAAAUUGGAGAACCCUACUAGUGCCAAACCUCCUUGAACGCAGCCGUAGCAAUGACCAUCCCUCUUUAGUUAUCGUCGAACUCUUCUCCUCCAGGGAUAGAUCGUGGGUGCCGCAUCGCGCGUGAGAAGCUCUGUUUGGUGGUUCGGCUCUCCUCAAUUUGUUCCUCCCGUCAUCACGUGUGGAAGCUCUGCUCGGCGGUUUGGCCCUCUUCGAUUCGUUCCUCCUUUCGUCGCCAUCGUAGGAAGAUCUCCUCUCCUCUCAUCCGAGCGCUCUCUUUCUCUCUGUCUUCGUUGGUAGUUCCCAUUCCUCUGCCACCGUCACGAAGGUUGAGCGUAGUGUAGCCGAGUUUAAUGACCCUGAUUCGAGCUCUCUUUCGCUCUCUCUCCAUCCAAGCUCUCUUCCUUUCCUCUAUCGCUGUCCCUGCCCAUUCCUACAUCACUGUCACUACCCUUCCUUCCUCGUGCUAGAACAUGAGGAUCUGGACAUUUUUUCAUCCAUGGAUAACUCAUGGUUUUAAAAUAGUCACAAAGAGAGUGAGCAAGGGUGUAAGAGUGGGAAUUUAAUGAAGUGGGUGAAGGUCAGGGAGGGCAUUGAGAAAUUGGAGGGUAUACUACACAAAUGACAGUGAUAUGGAAAUGUUCUGAUCUUCGCCUGUCCCAAAUAGGGGAGGUAUUGACUAGUUGAUUGCAUUAUUAUUGACUUUUGUUAAAGAUAGCAUCUGAUUCUUUUCUGCCUUUUCCCUUCCUUAUGUUGUUUUUUUCUUAUUUAUUUUUUUAAAUCAGUAUGUUGUGUUCUAAUUGAUGCUCAUACAAAGUAAUAGCAAUUAUUUUGUAUUGUGGCAUGAACCUUCUUGUUUAUUCGCGUAUUCAUUCAUUCUGUAAUUGCAUUUAAUUAAUUAUAUAGUUAGAAUUAAGGAAAUAGUGGACGAUGAAAUGCCUGAAAAUGAAGAAGAUCCAGCUCAGAAAUUGAAGAAAAAGAAACAGGAAGCUUAGAUGAAAGAGGAAGAUAACAAAAAGUUUUCAGCUUCCAAUAGUUAUUAGGGGUGAGACUGGCCAUCCUGUUUCGGAAAGUGAAGAUGAGGAUGGUUUUCCAAUUUCUGCUGCUGAGAAAGGUAAAUCUGAAGUUAAAGGAAACAAAGCACAUAAGACAGCUAAGGAAGCUGGCAAAAAUGCAGGUGUUAAUCAUUGUCCAAGCUUAAAAUAGAAAGUCGAAAGUGCUGAUGGAGAUGAACCACAGCAGCAAGACAGGAAAAAGAAGAAGAAAAAGAACAAGUUGAAAGGACCUGGUAAAGGGGGAAAGUGCUCAGGCACCAGGCAAUAGAGCAGCUCCUGGAAAGAAGAGUCUCUUCUCAAUUAUUCAGCUAUUUGCUAGCUCAUGCUAUUUUCAACUCACCCGGUUCCCUUCUGUUGAGAGGAGCUGAAAAUCAAUCCUAUUUAUGUUUCUUGAACUGAUGAGGUAAUCAAGAUUCAAUUGAUGGUUUCUCCGCAAAUUUACCAAAAAUGGAAUAAGCAUUUUUCUCCAUAUUUUAGCUUGAAAUAAAGAGGUUUUUAUGGCUUAUUGGCAUUACAUUUGCCUAAUGUAAAUUAAAUUAUUAGUUUUAUUGUAGGAUUGUAAUUUUGUUAGUUAUAAUUAUAGCAUGUAAAUCAAUAAAAAAUUAAUUCUUUUUAUACUUUCUUAUUUUCUCCCUUCAAAAACGUGGUUAUGGUUCCUAUUGGCACACUUUCGAAGCGUAGCCAAAACCAAUUCAAUUGGAUGUUUCUUAAAGCAUGGUUGUAUCUCUACUUUUUGGCAUGCUUUAAAAGCGUAGUGAAAGCCAG